rnacentral:rRNA from 1 species
AUAUCAAUAAGCGGAGGAAAAGAAACUAACAAGGAUUCCCCUAGUAACGGCGAGUGAAGCGGGAAGAGCUCAAAUUUGUAAGCUGGCCGGUCCCCGGUCCGCCUUGUAACCUGUAGAGCUAGAACUGUGCCGGUCCUCUCAUGAGUUUGCUGGAAUGCAACGUCAAAGAGGGUGAGAACCCCGUUCUUGGUGAGGAUCCCGGUGCUCUGUGUUCUGGUUUCGAAGAGUCGAGUUGUUUGGGAAUGCAGCUCAAAUUGGGUGGUAGAUUCCAUCUAAAGCUAAAUAUUGGCGAGAGACCGAUAGCGCACAAGUA